UACGGAGGGGGCGAGCGUUAUUCGGAAUUACUGGGCGUAAAGCGCGCGUAGGCGGCUUUGUAAGUUAGAGGUGAAAGCCCGGGGCUCAACCCCGGAACUGCCUUUAAGACUGCAUCGCUUGAAUCCAGGAGAGGUGAGUGGAAUUCCGAGUGUAGAGGUGAAAUUCGUAGAUAUUCGGAAGAACACCAGUGGCGAAGGCGGCUCACUGGACUGGUAUUGACGCUGAUGUGCGAAAGCGUGGGGAGCAAACAGG
rnacentral:rRNA from 1 species